UAGGGAAUCUUCGGCAAUGGGGGCAACCCUGACCGAGCAACGCCGCGUGAGUGAAGAAGGUUUUCGGAUCGUAAAGCUCUGUUGUAAGAGAAGAACGUGUGUGAGAGUGGAAAGUUCACACAGUGACGGUAACUUCCCAGAAAGGGCCGGCUAACUACGUGCCAGCAGCCCCGGUAAUACGUAGGUUCCGCGCGUUGUCCGGAUUUAUUGGGCGUAAAGCGAGCUCAGGCGGUUUAAUAAGUCUGAAGUUAAAGGCAGGGGCUUAACCAGGGAUCGCGUUGGAAACUGUUAAACUUGAGUGCAGAAGAGGAGAGUGGAAUUCCAUGUGUAGCGGUGAAAUGCGUAGAUAUAUGGAGGAACACCGGUGGAGAAAGCGGCUCUCUGGUCUGUAACUGACGCUGAGGCGCGAAAGCGUGGGGAGCAAACAGG
rnacentral:rRNA from 1 species